AUUGAACGCUGGCGGCAGGCCUAACACAUGCAAGUCGAACGGAGUGGCGGACGGGUGAGUAAUGCUUGGGAAACCGGCCUAUGGAGGGGGAUAAAGACGGGAAAACGGCGCCUAUAACGCGUACCAUAGGAGGCGCCCAAGUGGGAUUAUGUAGUUGGUGGGGUAAUGGCCCACCAAGCCGACGAUCUGUAGCUGGUCUGAGAGGAUGACCAGCCACCCCGGGACUGAGACACGGCCCGGACUCCUACGGGAGGCUGCAGUGGGGAAUAUUGGACAAUGGGCGAAAGCCUGAUCCAGCCAUGCCGCGUGUGUGAAGAAGGUCUUCGGAUUGUAAAGCUCUUUAAGUUGGGAAGCGUUACCAACAGAAUAAGCACCGGCUAACUUCGUGCCAGCAGCCGCGGUAAUAC
rnacentral:rRNA from 1 species